rnacentral:rRNA from 1 species
AGACAGAAAUAUACUAAACUCUGUCCGCCUGAAAAUUACAAGCAUAAGCUCAAAACUCAAAGGACUUGGCGGCGCUUUAGAUCCACCUAGAGGAGCCUGUCCUAUAACCGAUAACCCCCGUUUAACCUUACCUUCUUUUGCCUUCAGUCUAUAUACCGCCGUCGUCAGCUUACCCUCUGAGGGACUUAUUAGUAAGCAAAAUUGGUACAGCCCAAGACGUCAGGUCGAGGUGUAGCAUAUAAGAAGAGAAGAGAUGGGCUACAUUUCCUUUUUAGGGCCCACGGAAAAUGUUUUGAAACAAACAUAUUGAAGUAGGAUUUAGUAGUAAGUAAAAAAUAGAGUGUUUU